GGGCCCGUAGCUCAGUUGGUAGAGCACCUGACUUUUAAUCAGGGUGUCACAGGUUCGAAACCUGUCGGGCCUACCA
rnacentral:tRNA from 1 species